CAUGCAAGUCGAGCGGUAGCACAGAGAGCUUGCUCUCGGGUGACGAGCGGCGGACGGGUGAGUAAUGUCUGGGAAACUGCCUGAUGGAGGGGGAUAACUACUGGAAACGGUAGCUAAUACCGCAUAACGUCGCAAGACCGAAGUGAGGGACCUUCGGGCCUCAUGCCAUCAGAUGUGCCCAGAUGGGAUUAGCUAGUAGGUGGGGUAACGGGUCACCUAGGCGACGAUCCCUAGCUGUGCUGAGAGGAUGACCAGCCACACUGUAACUGAGACACGGUCCAGACUCCUACGGGAGGCAGCAGUGGGGAAUAUUGCACAAUGGGCGCAAGCCUGAUGCAGCCAUGCCGCGUGUGUGAAGAAGGCCUUCGGGUUGUAAAGCACUUUCAGCGUGGAGGAAGGCGAUAAGGUUAAUAACCUUGUCGAUUGACGUUACCCGCAGAAGAAGCACCGGCUAACUCCGUGCCAGCAGCCGCGCUAAUACGGAGGGUGCAAGCGUUAAUCUGAAUUACUGUGCGUAAAGCGCACGCAGGCGGUCUGUCAAGUCGGAUGUGAAAUCCCCGGGCUCAACCUGGGAACUGCAUUCGAAACUGGCAGGCUAGAGUCUUGUAGA
rnacentral:rRNA from 1 species